rnacentral:rRNA from 1 species
AAAGCGCGCGUAGGUGGUUUGUUAAGUUGGAUGUGAAAGCCCCGGGCUCAACCUGGGAACUGCAUCCAAAACUGGCAAGCUAGAGUAUGGUAGAGGGUGGUGGAAUUUCCUGUGUAGCGGUGAAAUGCGUAGAUAUAGGAAGGAACACCAGUGGCGAAGGCGACCACCUGGACUGAUACUGACACUGAGGUGCGAAAGCGUGGGGAGCAAACAGGAUUAGAUACCCCUGU